CCGCAAGGUUGAAACUCAAAGGAAUUAACGCGGACCCGCACAAGCGGUGGAGCAUGUGGUUUAAUUCGAAGCAACGCGAAGAACCUUACCAAAUCUUGACAUCCUCUGACCCCUCUAGAGAUAGAGUUUUCCCCUUCGGGGGACAGAGUAACAGGUGGUGCAUGGUUGUCGUCAGCUCGUGUCGUGAGAUGUUGGGUUAAGUCCCGCAACGAGCGCAACCCUUAAGCUUAGUUGCCAUCAUUAAGUUGGGCACUCUAAGUUGACUGCCGGUGACAAACCGGAGGAAGGUGGGGAUGACGUCAAAUCAUCAUGCCCCUUAUGAUUUGGGCUACACACGUGCUACAAUGGACAAUACAAAGGGCAGCGAAACCGCGAGGUCAAGCAAAUCCCAUAAAGUUGUUCUCAGUUCGGAUUGUAGUCUGCAACUCGACUAUAUGAAGCUGGAAUCGCUAGUAAUCGUAGAUCAGCAUGCUACGGUGAAUACGUUCCCGGGUCUUGUACACACCGCCCGUCACACCACGAGAGUUUGUAACACCCGAAGCCGGUGGAGUAACCAUUUGGAGCUAGCC
rnacentral:rRNA from 1 species